GGCCCAAUGAUUAACUACUCAGUUGCCAACUGAAAGGUCGGUGGUUCAAAUCCACUUUUGGCUU
rnacentral:tRNA from 1 species